CAGACUACAAGAGUAUUGGGGAUGUGAGAAGGGUUAUUGGGGGAGGUAGGGGGCAAACCAGGGAUAAGGAGGCUGUAGAAAUGGAUGCAAAGGGUUCUUGAGUUAAAUAUGAUGGGGAUUUUGCAGUCCUUAAGGUGGAUUCAGCUGUGAGAAAAGAUCUGUGGCUGAGGUAUUUCAUCAUGCAGCUAGGAGGGAAGAGUUGAAAGUACGGAUCCCUGCUCCCAGGAUAGCAGGCACCCUGAUGGCUAAGACUCUCCACACAAAGGGAGCCAAAUUAUGAGCUUUUUCACAUUGCUUUAAUUGAUCCCCAUCUGGUAGCACCUGAUCUUUGCCAGAAGAGAAG
rnacentral:lncRNA from 1 species